rnacentral:rRNA from 1 species
UACGGGGGGGGCAAGCGUUGUUCGGAAUUACUGGGCGUAAAGGGCUCGUAGGCGGCCAACUAAGUCAGACGUGAAAUCCCUCGGCUUAACCGGGGAACUGCGUCUGAUACUGGAUGGCUUGAGUAUGGGAGAGGGAUGUAGAAUUCCAGGUGUAGCGGUGAAAUGCGUAGAUAUUGGGAGGAACACCAGUGGCGAAGGCGGCUCACUGGACCGGAACUGACGCUGAGGCGCGAAAGCGUGGGGAGCAAACAGG